rnacentral:misc_RNA from 1 species
UGCGUCCUUCCUCCUCCUUCUUGUUCUUCGGGCUGUGACCCUCUUCUGCGGCUGUGCACGCGCGUGACGUCUCAGCCAUUGCCGUCAUCUCUUCGCUGUGAGCCGGCACCCUUCUUUGCCUUCCUCGUAAGGGCGGGCGCCUCCGUGCAGGCUUGUAUGUGUUGCAUCGUCCGUGUGGGUCUCUUAAUCUCUCUGUACGAUGCCAGCCAAGAAGAAAGAGGUGAAGGUAGACGAGCCGCUCUUCGUAGACGAGGAGGGCAGCUACGUGCACGAAGCAGAAGGCGCCAGGUACAAGGGCGGAAUACGUCGUUAUGCUCCCCCAGGAGGCACCGACGCUGGCGGCACGGCAGCUCCGCCCGCUAAAAAUAGUCGCUCCAGGUCUACCUCGUCGCCAGGCAAGGGAGGGGCAACACCGCCGCCGUCUGCGGCUGCCGGUACGGCGGCGAGCAUGGCAGUGGUCAGCGAUGCGCCGGUGUUUCGCCACGGCCGCGGCGUGUAUACGUGCCCGUCCUUCACGUAUGCAGGUGACUGGGUCGAGGAUGAGAUGCACGGUAGUGGUCAGCUCGCCUUUGUCGAGUCGGGCAACAUCUACGAAGGCGAGUUUUCUCACGGCUGCUUUUCUGGACACGGUACGUACCAGUGGCGCGACGGGGCGCUGUACUGCGGGCAGUGGCGGUCGAAUCGCAUGCACGGCGAGGGCAUCUACACAGACGUGCAGGGGCACGUAUGGAAGGGGCGGUACUACAACGGUACCGGGCCGGGGCUCAUUCGUCUGUACCCGACGCUGGAGCGUGUAGAUGACGCUAGCCCAUCGUCUCCUGGGCUGGACUCCACAAACGCCUCUGCCACGGCGGCGGACUCCUGAGGCGCGACUCAACGCCAGGGGCCUGUCGCCGAACGCGACGAAGAACGAGAGGAAGGAGAUGCGAGUACCCAAUUUCGUGUGAGACACCAUGAUUAGUGGCGCUCUUCAUCUCUUUCUGUGCCGCUGUAUCGAUGUAUGGUUGCCCCCCCCCCCCACACACACACCACUCUUCGCCACGCUGGUGCGUGCUCGACGGACGAAGUGUCGGCUGGAUAAAGCCAGCGCGAGGGACAUGAUUGAGCGAUUGCCCACGUGCAUGCGUGUGCAGCUCCUUUUUCGGUUCUCUCUCACGGGCCUUCUCUCUCUGCUCUGUGGCUGGCGAGGACGAUGUACAGUACGGUGCUGGAUGGAGGCAUGCGCUCGUCCAACCACCCACUCCCCAACCCCCAACCCGAACGAAGAUCAGGAACGACGCAAAAAUAGGUGGCGGAACCCAGUGAAACCGACUCGUGGAGACUUUCCCAGGUUUGCAUGUCUGUGUGCAUCAACUCCACACAUGCAUCCGCAAGCCACCAUCCACCCACCCACCCGCACCUGCACACACAUACACACACGUAUCUUUUGGUGGUACCUCCCUCUCCUCUCUCUCGACAUAUCGCAACGGCCUCUGCUGGCCUGUCCUCCUCUCUGUCUCUAUGG